rnacentral:lncRNA from 1 species
AUCAAGUGUUCCUGCACAAUAUGUGAUUCUUCACAUUAGGUAUCCUAAAUGCUCUUUUCAAUAUACUGAAUAAUUUUGUUUAUUCUAGAAUAUAGAAUCCAACGUCAUUAUGAUUAAACCAGAACUUUAGACAAACAUGAUCAUUGCUUGCACGAUAGCUGUAGUCACAUAUGAGAACAAAAUAUUUUGAAUCCCUGCUCCAUAUGGUAGCAUAGUUUUUCUUGCAGGGAUUUAUUGGGCAUUUCAGCUUUGCACUGACCAAUUUGGGGAUCACACUUUUUAUGUUGAUCCCUGCCAAAAACAAUAGCAAGAGUAAUUUGGUGCUUACUUUUGUUCAAAAUGGUAAUACCUACGAGUGGGUUGGGUUGAAACAGAUCUACAAUGGGUUGGCACUCUUGUGGAUAACACUUUCCACAACAAUUCUAUGAUGAGCUUCUUAUUCUUAGGGUGGAAAGCAAUCUGAUCCGUAAUGUGCUUAUUUAUACUAUAUAGAAAAUUGCUUUCUUGCCCCUCUUCCUUUUAGUUCUCGCUUUUUACAUUUACAUAAAGCAAUUUUGAUCUAUGGGAGAGGGACACAAGAGUUUUUUCUUUCUUGAGAAUUAACUUGAGUUGUGCUCAUUACUGAGUUGAUAGACAAGAGAAAUGCGUAUAACUAAAUUAAGCAGCAACAAUACAACCUUGCAUCAAUCUACCAAAACUGGUAUUCUUAGUAAAACCAAACCAUACGACCGUCAUUGGAUCAUCAAACAUAUAAUUGAAGAGACUUAAAAAUACAAAACACACCUUAAGGGGGGAGAGAUGUAGGUGACCAGUGGUUGAGAGCAGCAAAUGUCGACAGAGGGAUCAGUGGUUGUAUCUGCAACUCAACUGGUCGCCUCCCCAUUUGUUCCUUAUAGGUGUGCAGAGGUUGCCGAGGUCGAUGCAGCGUCGUCGAAGGAAGGUGAGCGGCAACAAUGGAGGGGAUCGCGGAGUAGAGGGGUAGGAGAGCGUUGAUGGCGCUGUUGCAAUACCUCCUCUCCACACCCUCAACGCGCGCGCCAUCAACGUCGUGGGGGAGGUGCGCGUUGAUGGUGGCCUCGGAUCCCCGUAAUCGCGGAGCAGAGGGGGAGGAGGGUGGGGGAUCCGCGGCAACCUUCCAUGACGGGCGGUGGGUGGGGCGGAUCGGCGUCACAACAACCUUCCAUGCGACUUCGUGGGGAGCUGGUGCGUGUUGAUGGCGGCAUCGGAUCCCCGUAAUCACGGAGCAGAGGGGGAGGAGGGUGGGGGAUCCGCGAUUACCUUCCUUAACGAGUGGUGGGUGGGGCGGAUCGGCGUCGCGGCAACCUUCCAUGCAACGUCGUGGGGGGGGAGGUGCACGUUGAUGGUGGCCUCGGAUCCCUAUAAUCGCGGAGCAGAGGGGGAGGAGGGUGGGGGGAUCCACGGAAACCUUCCUUGAUGAGCGGUGGGUGGGGCGGAUCGGCGUCGCGGCAACAUUCCAUGCGAUGUCGUGGGGAGGAGGUGCGCGUUGAUGGCGGCCUCGGAUCCCCGGAUCGGCGCUGAUGGCAGAUCAGCGUUGAUGGCGGGGAGCCCUCGGCAGAACCGUGCACCAAAAUAAUUUGUGGACAUCUACAGUAGUGUCUUAAGAAGUAGUAGAGAUUGCCAAAUUUGCAAUUCCUAGACCUCCUUGGUCUUUGGGUCGGCAAAGGAUGUUCCAUUUAGCAAGUCUAUUUUUUCUUAUCUUUGUUUCCUUGCGAAAAAAAUCUAUAUCUAUAUUGAUCUAGUUUUUUUAAAACCUCAUUAGGGAUCUCAAAAGCAGACAUCAUAAACAUGGGAAGACUACUAAGCACGAGUUUAAAAGGACUAACCUACCUCCAUAAGAAAGGUGUUUUGCUUUCCAGGAGGCUAGUUUUUUCUCGAACCUUUCUUCUAUGACCCUCCAAUCACUAUUUUGGAGUUUCCUAUGAUGCAUCGGUAUACCCAAAUAUUUGAGAGGAUAUUCACCUGAAUUGCAUCCAAAGAGUUCAGUAUACUGGUUUUCAAAAUCUUUUACGGCGCCAUAGCAAAUAAUUUCGCUUUUAUGGAAAUUUUCUUUAGGCCAGAAAGUUCUUCAAAAACACUUAGUAACAAUUUCAUACUUUUGGCCUGAUCUAAAUCAUGAUCUAAGAAUAGAAUAGUGUCAUCUGCAUAUUGCAAAAUUGAUAAACCAUCCUCUACCAGAUGAGGAAUGACCCCACUAAAUUGUCCAUCAUCUUUAGCUCUUUUAAUUAAGAGUGCCAGCAUAUCUGCAACUGCGUUGAACAAAAUAGGUGACAUAGGGUCUCCUUGACGCAACCCUUUCUUUUGUCUAGAAAUAAUGGCCAAUGUCAUCAUUGACUUUGAUUGCAACACUACCUCUGUAAUGAAGUUCUCUACCCAUUUGCCCAUUUUGUAGAGAACCCUUUCAUUCUCAAGGUUUGUUGAAGGAAUGACCAAUUAACUUUGUCAUAGUCCUUUUCAAAAUCAAUUUUGAAAAUUACCCCAUUAAGUUUUUUUCGUGUGUAAUUCAUUAAUGGUCUCGUGUAAUAUAACCACUCCUUCCAUUAUAUUCCUUCAGGCAUGAAGGCGGUAUAUGAGGGUCUCACAACCAUUUCCAUAACCUUUUUUAUUCUAUUGGUGGCAACUUUAGUAAAAAUUUUAAAACUAACAUUUAACAGACAUAUUGGCCAGUAUUGUUGGAUUUUUAUUGCCUCUUUAGUUUUGGGUAGAAGAGUAAUUACCCCAAAAUAUAGACUAAAAAGGGGAAGUUUAUCUUCAUGAAAGUCAUCAAAGAGAGCCAUCAAAUCUUCUUUUAAAAUUUCCCAGAAUACUUGAUAGAAUUCAAUAGGGAAUCCAUCGGGACCUGGAGCUUUGUUGUGUUCCUUUUGGAAAAUAGCUUCUUUGACCUCAUCCUCCGUAAAUGUGGAGGUUAGUAAGAUAUCUUCAAUAUAAUCUUCCACCAAGGUUAUAUUGGUAUUCUCUGGUGGUCCAAACAACCCUUUAUAGUAGUUUGUGAUAUAUGCCUUUAAAUUAUCAUCUCCGGCGACAACUCCCUCUUCCUGUUCUAAUUUGAAGAUGUGUUGUUUGCGGUGUUUACCAUUGGCAACUAGAUGGAAAAAGCGAGUAUUAUCGCCACCUUGUAAUAGGUUUUAACCUUCGCUCUUUCAUACCAUUUAAUCUCCACUUCUCUUAAUAAAAGGGCAAGUCUUUUCUUUUAGAUAAUGCUUCAUAUUUAUUUCGCUAUCAGCCAAGGCAACUGAUUCGACCUUUUUAUCAUUGGCAUCAAUCAAUGAUGUUAGCCUAUUUUUUUCUUUCUUGUAUGUGCCUGAUGAUGUUUGGCCCAUCCACGAAGAUGCUAGCGGAGAUGUCUUAUUAUAUUUUGCCAUCAUUCUAUCGCCAUAACUCCUUUGCCCUCGGAUUGCCAUAAAUUAGCAACCAUAAUCUGUCAAUAGCUUGUUUCAUCAGCACCAUGAUUGAUAGUGCAAUAAAAUAGACAUGUUCAAUUUAUAUUGAUAUUGUUUUUUUAUGUUGUUUACAUUUAUUUCAGGGCUAUUAGUCUAGCAGAUUAUGUCUCCCAUAGCAGCAACAACUUCACAGAAAGGGUUGUCCUCCCAGAUGGACAAGUUUCCCUACAGAUGACACUAAUAGGGUGUCAAUUCCUGUCAUCAUGGACGAAGUGCCUUACAACAGCAUUUGCUAAGGGCUGUAGUUGGAAUGGUGCCUUUACACUGGAUGGUUUCAAAUUUAUUGAAGACCACGUUUUACAUGUUAAAAAGCCAAAGAAAGCAAGAAAUGGUUCAAUGGGAAAAGAUGUGGAUGAAUUUCUUAGUCUCCCAGAAACGAUCCUUUGCAGUGCCAAUACAAGCCGUCCAACGUAUCUGGAUUUGUAUAUAAGAUAUUGGUGUAGUCUUCAGGACGCUCUUGAUGUGACAAAUCUCUUACUAAAUGAGGAUAAAUUAUUUCUUGGUACACAUGUUUGCUUUAUGACUAGCUAUGCUAGAGAGAAGGUAAUAUUCAAACUAUAUCAGAAGUAUGAAGGUGCAAGCAGAGACGAGACUUCUAUUUGGAAUAGAGCAAUAAAUGGUGUUGUUUGUCCAUCGACUUGGCACUCAGACCUGUCCUCCGUACCAAUGUUGAUGGAUGUUUUUGAGGGUGCAAGCAAAUUAAACUGCCCAUAUCCACCAUCCAAAGAUUGGUGCCUUUAGAUUUAUGAAAGAUAUAGUUACACACACUGAAGAUUAUAUUGAUGUAAGUUGUUUUUUAAGUUAUCACCUUAAUAAUCAUGCUAACAUGUUAUAUUUCUUGUUAGUAACCUUUAAAAUAACAUGUUAUCUGACCCACCCACCCCAACAGUCCACACAGAAUCAAAAUUCUAAGCUACAACCAUCUAAGGGCUUGUUCGGUUAGCUCUCAAUCCAUGUGAAUUAAGUGAGAUUGGAUAGAUUUAAAUCCUGUGUGAUGGGAAUAAUCAAACAAGGCCUAACAGUUACUUUCUCAGCAUGGCUUUGGCUGAGUUUGUGUAUCUGUCUUUAUUAAAGAAUAGGAAAUGAGAUUAUUGUCAUUUAAGCUUUAUGUUGGCCAUAUAGGAAAUCAUUACAAGUCUCAAUUGAAAAAAUAUUUAAAUACUGUUUGUAGUCAAAUUGAAGCUUAAACGACAGUCUAUUUAUAUUUCAAUCGUCAUUUUCAGGGAAAUUUUAAUGCUCGAAAGUAUGGUGCCGCAAAAGAAUUAAUGAUACCUGCCCACUUAAAGGAUUUUCUUCCAAGCAUCAUAAUUAAUCUGAUCAAAAACAAUGUAGAUAUUAGUGAAGAGUAUGCUUAUCUGAACUUUAUUUUUUAUUUUUUGUCAAUUUUAAGCAGAAAAAUCUUAACAUCUUAUUACUUGUAGGUUGUUAGCAGCCAUCAAGUGUUCCUGCACAAUAUGCGAUUCUUCACAUUAGGUAUCCUAAAUGCUCUUUUCAAUAUACUGAAUAAUUUUGUUUAUUCUAGAAUAUAGAAUCCAACAUCAUUAUGAUUAAACCAGAACUUUAGACAAACAUGAUCAUUGCUUGCACGAUAGUUGUAGUCACAUAUGAGAACAAAACAUUUUGAAUCCCUGCUCCAUAUGGUAGCACAAUUUUCUUGCAGGGAUUUAUUGAGCAUUCAGCUUUGCACUGACCAAUUUGGGGAUCACACUUUUUAUGUUGAUCCCUACCAAAAACAAUAGCAAGAGUAAUUUGGUGCUUACUUUUGUUCAAAAUGGUUAUACCUACU